rnacentral:rRNA from 1 species
ACUUUUGUCUUCGGAUGGAGGUUUUCUAGUGGCGAACGGGUGAGUAACGCGUUGGUGACCUGUCCCGAAGUGGAGAAUAACAGUUCGAAAGGAUUGCUAAUACUUCAUGAUAUCAAUUGGAUUAGAUACCUUUUGAUCAAAGGCGAAAGCCGCUUUGGGAGGGGCCUGCGUCCCAUCAGCUAGUUGGUAGGGUAAUGGCCUACCAAGGCAAAGACGGGUAGGGGACCUAAGAGGGUGACCCCCCACACUGGCACUGAAACACGGGCCAGACACCUACGGGUGGCAGCAGUAGGGAAUUUUGGACAAUGGGCGAAAGCCUGAUCCAGCAACGCCGCGUGCGCGAUGAAGGCCUUCGGGUUGUAAAGCGCUUUUAGAGGAGAUGAGAAAGGACAGUAUCCUCUGAAUAAGCCUCGGCGAACUACGUGCCAGCAGCCGCGGUAAAACGUAGGAGGCUAGCGUUAUCCGGAUUUAUUGGGCGUAAAGCGUGUGCAGGCGGUUUGGUAAGUUGGAUGUGAAAACUCCUGGCUUAACUGGGAGAGGUCGUUCAAAACUACCAGACUAGAGAAUGGGAGAGGGAGAUGGAAUUCCGGGUGUAGUGGUGAAAUGCGUGGAUAUCCGGAGGAACACCAG